CCUACGUGAGUCAGCAGUGAGGAAUAUUGGUCAAUGGGCGCGAGCCUGAACCAUCCAAGUAGCGUGAAGGAUGACUGCCCUACGGGUUGUAAACUUCUUUUAUAAAGGAAUAAAGUGAGGCCCUUUUGCCUUUUUGUAUGUACUUUAUGAAUAAGGAUCGGCUAACUCCGUGCCAGCAGCCGCGGUAAUACGGAGGAUCCGAGCGUUAUCCGGCUUUAUUGGGUUUAAAGGGUGCGCAGGCGGAAGAUAAAGUCAGCGGUAAAAUUGAGAGGCUCAACCCCUUCGAGCAGUUGAAACUGGUUGUCUUGAGUGGGCGAGAAGUAUGCGGAAUGCGCGGUGUAGCGGUGAAAUGCAUAGAUAUCACGCAGAACUCCGAUUGCGAAGGCAGCAUACCGGCGCUCAACUGACGCUCAUGCACGAAAGUGUGGGUAUCGAACAGGAUUAGAUACCCCUGUAGUC
rnacentral:rRNA from 1 species